rnacentral:ncRNA from 2 species
CGUUGCCUUGCUGGAGAGAGGCGUCGGCCCCCGGGCCACGCCCACCGAAGGAGCAAACCCCGCGCGCGGGGUGAAUCUCUCAGGUAAAGCGGACAGCAGGGGCGCC